rnacentral:rRNA from 1 species
GUGUCAGCAGCCGCGGUAAUACGGAGGGUGCAAGCGUUAAUCGGAAUUACUGGGCGUAAGGGGCGCGUAGGCGGUUUGGUAAGCGAGUUGUGAAAGCCCCGGGCUCAACCUGGGAAUGGCAAUUCGAACUGCCAGGCUAGAAUGCAGCAGAGGGCAGUGGAAUUCCAGGUGUAGCGGUGAAAUGCGUAGAUAUCUGGAGGAACGCCAGUGGCGAAGGCGACUGCCUGGGCUGACAUUGACGCUGAGGUGCGAAAGCGUGGGUAGCAAACAGGAUUAGAAACCCCGGUAGUCC